GACGAACGCUGGCGGCGUGCUUAACACAUGCAAGUCGAACGGAAAGGCCCUUCGGGUUCCUCGAUUGGCGAACGGGUGGGUAACACGGUGGUGAUCUGCCCUGCACUUUGUGAUAAUCCGGGGAAACUGGGUCUAAUACCCAAAAUGCUCAUCAGCUUCUUGGUCGGUGGUGGAAAGCUUUUGCGGUGUGGGAUGGGCCCGCGGCCUAUCAGCUUGUUGGUGGGUUAAUGGCAUACCAAGUCACCGAGUGAUAGGCGGCCUGAGAGGGUGACCGGCCACACUGGGACUGAGAUACGGCCCAGAAUCCUACGGGAGGCAGCAGUGGGAAAUAUUGCAGAACGGGCGCAAGCGUGAUGCAGAGACGCCGCGUGCGGGAUGACGGCCUUCGGGUUGUAAACCACUUUCAGCAUAGACGAAGCGGAAGUGACGGUACGUGCAGAAGAAGGAACGGCUAACUACGUG
rnacentral:rRNA from 1 species